UACGAGGGGGGCGAGCGUUGUUCGGAAUUAUUGGGCGUAAAGGGCGCGUAGGCGGCUGUACAAGUCAAAGGUGAAGUCCCUCGGCUCAACUGAGGAACUGCCUUUGAAACUGUACGGCUUGAGGCCGGGAGGGGGUAGCGGAAUUCCCAAUGUAGCGGUGAAAUGCGUAGAUAUUGGGAGGAACACCAGUGGCGAAGGCGGCUACCUGGACCGGUUCUGACGCUGAUGCGCGAAAGCGUGGGUAGCAAACAGG
rnacentral:rRNA from 1 species